UUUGAUAUUGAUAAAGCAAUGACGACUCCAAACCCAACAGCCCUGGCAAGUCACCAAGCAAUUCCCUUCUGUCAGAUUCUCCAAUUUGCUGGAAUUCAAGCCAUCUUGGACAAUGUGGAUGAUGCCAGCAGAAUUCACAUAAUUGAUUUUACACUAAGAUGUGGACUUCAAUGGACUGUUUUAAUGCAAGCUUUAGUUUCUCGAUGCGAAUGCCCUGUCGAGCUUCUCAAGAUAACUGCAAUUGCAACUGCAGGGGAGGAUUUAAUUG
rnacentral:misc_RNA from 1 species